UACGUAGGUGGCAAGCGUUGUCCGGAUUUAUUGGGUUUAAAGGGUGCGUAGGUGGUCUUGUAAGUCAGUGGUGAAAUACGGCAGCUCAACUGUCGAGGUGCCAUUGAUACUGCAAGACUUGAGUACAGACGAGGUAGGCGGAAUUGACGGUGUAGCGGUGAAAUGCUUAGAUAUCGUCAAGAACACCGAUAGCGAAGGCAGCUUACUAGACUGUAACUGACACUGAGGCACGAAAGUGUGGGGAUCAAAC
rnacentral:rRNA from 1 species